GUUGAGGAAGAAGGAGGAGGAGGAGGAGGAGGCGGAGGAGCAGCGCGCGAGGGAGGGAGGAGGGCCGUCAGUAGGGCUACGUGCAGGCUAGCCGUCGGGUGCAGCGGGAGACGCGCGCGGGAGCACGAGGGAGCUGGUCGGCCGCUGUGGCCUCGCGUUCGACGGUGCGGGAGUCGGAGCGCGGGAGCUGACCUUAAAACUGCCAUCAAGUGAAAAUAUUACCUAAAAGAAAAAAGAAAAGAACAAAAAAGUGAGUGAGAUAAUAAAUAAUGGAAGGACCAGGAAGAUGAAUAAAUAUACACAAAGGAAAAGGAGAAAACUAGAAAGAGGUUUGCGAUCGUGAACUCCUAAGACCGUUGAAAUCUGCGGUGCCAAGUGUUGCCAAGGUGACCCUGAGGAUUAAGGUGCGCUGCCUCAAGAAACGUUUCUGAAGCCCCGACCACUUCGAGAAAAAAACGUUUCUCCAAGCGAAUAAAGUUCUGAAGGUCCGCCCACGUGGAGGGAAAACGUUUCUGAAACCCCUCUAUCGAAAGGAAUACUGCAGACUCCGCUUGCAUCAUCAUAGAAGCUUUGCAGACUCCGCCCACCUCCUGCAAAGGGAGGAAAUGAAGCUGUUGGUGGUUUUAGCAAUGUGUGCCUGC